rnacentral:tRNA from 1 species
GGCCAUGUGGUAGAAUGGUAAAUACUCUUCCUUGGCAAGGGAUGAUUUUCGGGUUCGAUUCCCGACAUGGCCU